GACUCUGACAGUCAGUAACUGAGAAGAGACAUAAAGAAGACUGAAGCAUGAUGGUUGAAUCAAGAUGGAUUAAAAUGUCUUUAUUUCUGAUGCUGCUGCUUCACUUUACAGGUAAGGAUGCAUAUAGCAUAAACAGAAAUACCAGAAACAUUACAAAACAAAGUUCAGCUGGAUCUAAGAUUAUAUUCACACUAAAUCUCAACAUAAAAACCUAUUUAUUUAAUUCUUUCUCAUCUUUUCAACAGCAGUGGCUGAACAACUCUACCCCCGUAUUGUUGUCAGAGUUGGAGAUGAAGUACACUUUGCCUUGUGACAAUGUGAGAGAUUAAUCAGGACAAAUGUCAGCGUACUUCGUGGCCUCUUGUUGGUUCAGGAAACACAAAGGUCAAUAUAUCUGAUUGAACGUAGACAGAUUUUUGAAAACGCCGAAACUAAAUCAGACAGACUGAGUGUUGCAGCGAACUGUUCUCUGGUUAUAAAGAAGGUCACAGUCGAGGAUGUUGGUCAAUAUACCUGCAGACAGUUUAUAUCAGGACAACAAAAAGGUCCAGACUCUCAGGUUCAUCUGUUUGUCAUUACCAUGACUGAACAUAAGGACUCUGAUAAGGUGACAUUAAGCUGCUCUGUGUCGACUGACAGAAGGUGUGAACACAGAGUGAAGUGGCUGUAUCAGGGUGAAGAUCUGGAUAAAGAUAAUGAAGACAGGGACACAUCAGAGCCUAAGUGCUCAGUUACUGUGACAUUCCCUACUUCUGAUCUUAACCUGAAGUCAGAGCAUCUUAAGUGUGAAGUGACUGAUCUUUUUGUUCAACCAGAGCAGCAGUUUACCUUCAGCCUUCAGUCCUCAGCUCGUACAGAUUGGUCUGUUCUGAACUACAUAAUGUUGGUUAUGCGUGUGGCUGAACUCCUCCUAAUUACGGUGAUUACUGUUCUUCUCAUCAGAGCUCGAGGGAACCAGAGACCACCUGAUGACAGCACUGUUUUAAACUCAGAAGGAAGCCAGCAGUGAGGCGUUCAGGUCCAGCAGCCAGUCAGGUGCAUCGUGAUGAAGAUGGACAUGACGACACAGUGAACUAUGAAAACGAUAGAGACCCCUCUGCUUCUGUGAGACUCAACAACUUCCACACCAACAUCCACUGCUGUUAAAGGUUUAUUCACAGCAUUAUUUUACCUCAGACCAUGAAUCCUAGUUUUAUUUUAAGGUUUUAGAUGAGGUCUUGGUUAUUGUAUUGAUGCAGGGGGAAAAAAAUGAUGUUUAACUGACUCUUUCUCAGCAAGAAAUCAAAGCUUUGGUUUGAUCUAAUUUUGAGAAGCUUGCUGUACAUUUGAGAACAUUUUUGUCUUUUCUUGCAUCAGUUUAAAAAAUCUUUCCUUUCUGCAACCAGGCUUGCACAUUUUCUGAUUGCCUUUUAAUCUGUAACUAGCCUAGUUUAGCAUGAACUCAUUUUAAUCACUCUGUGUGCAGAAGAACUCUUUUUAUUGACUUUGAAUUUCUGGUUUUCAGUGUCCAAUAUGUUUUUUACUAAUUUUACAGAAUAAAGAUUUUUAGAGCGACCCUUAAUUGUGUCCAAUAAAUGUAUUUCUGUUGUGGAAAACAAAAGUAGCUGCCAUACACACAAACAUUUGUGGAUAAAAUUCUGUUUUAAUAAGGGACUUAAAGGAGAUCAGCGACUCAGCUGACCUGAUUUCCUCAGGCAGGUUGUUC
rnacentral:lncRNA from 15 species